CCUGCCAUGUAGAUGUAUUACAUGCUGGAGGGGAAGGAGGAUUAUGCAAAUCAAAUCCCAGCUUAUGCGGUGAUGUUUUUGUAGAAGAAACAUGAGUUGAUGUGGUAACUAAGCAAUUGGAAGAACUAUUUAUAUCAGGGUGUCUCCAGGUCUGUCCAGAAGAUGUAUUACAAGCAGGAGGGGAAGGAGGAUUUUGCAAAUCAAACCCAAGCUUAUGUGGUGAUGGUUUUGUAUCAGAAACAUGGGUUGAUGUGUUAACCAAGCAAUUGGAAGAACUAUUUACAUUAGGGUGAAUCCAGGUCAGUCCAGAAGUUGUAUUACAUGCUGGAGGGGAAGGAGGAUUAUGCAAAUCAAAUCCCAGCUUAUGUGGUGAUGUUUUUGUACUAGAAACAUGAGCAGACGUGGUAACCAAGCAAUUGGAAGAACUAUUUACAUUAGGGUGUCUCCAGGUCUGUCCAGAAGAUUGCCCUGAAUUCUCUUCACUGUCUGAUUGCUUCUGAUAACUCUGCCCACUAUUACUCUGCACAUCAGAUGUCCUGUUCGAGCCAUUAUUUCUAUUUUCGGAAUUUCCCACAAUUGCAUGGCCUUUCCUUAAUU
rnacentral:lncRNA from 1 species